rnacentral:rRNA from 1 species
CCUACGGGAGGCAGCAGUGAGGAAUAUUGGUCAAUGGGCGCAAGCCUGAACCAGCCAAGUCGCGUGAGGGAUGACGGUCCUACGGAUUGUAAACCUCUUUUGUCGGGGAGCAAGGCCCGCCACGUGUGGCGGGAAGGAGAGUACCCGAAGAAAAAGCAUCGGCUAACUCCGUGCCAGCAGCCGCGGUAAUACGGAGGAUGCGAGCGUUAUCCGGAUUUAUUGGGUUUAAAGGGUGCGUAGGCGGAAGGUUAAGUCAGCGGUAAAAUGUCGGUGCUCAACACCGGCCUGCCGUUGAAACUGGUCUUCUUGAGUGAGCGAGAAGUAUGCGGAAUGCGUGGUGUAGCGGUGAAAUGCAUAGAUAUCACGCAGAACUCCGAUUGCGAAGGCAGCAUACCGGCGCUCAACUGACGCUGAGGCACGAAAGCGUGGGGAUCGAACAGGAUUAGAUACCCCGGUAGUC